CCAACUCCCUCCCCUCCCCCAACCCACACAAAGGCUUUCGAGUCACCCCGGAAAGAGCACCCAGGGCUUUGCCUGGCUGCCCAGUCUGUCUCCCGGGCUCAGGAGUACAGAGAGACACGGAGUAUGGCCAGGUUACCUUCAAGGGGGCCGUGACCCUCGAGAGCUCCCCGUGGGAGGCACCUGUGCUCGCCCAGGAAUGCCACAGAGCAUCCUACUUCCUCCCCGGCGCCACCACUCAGCGCUCCGUCAGGAGAGAUGGAUGGACCCACCGACAGUCUCCCCCCCUCCUCCGAUCCAUCUCUUCCUCCAGACCUGCGGCUGCAGCGGUGUCAUUGAGCAGUGGUGAUGACCUCUGGCCAGGAAGUUGAAGGUCUUUGCUAUCUGGCUUUUCACAGAAACUGCUGACCCGUGAAUUAGAGCGAGUCUUCAGGCUGCUGUCUGCACCAGAUGAGUUCUGGCUGGGCCGAUACGGGAGGGAGGCGCUUGUGUUCAGAGGUUCCUCCCUCUGGCACCGAGGCUCCUGCCUGCUGGCUGGUGCGGCCAGAGAGCCCGGGAAAAACAUAUGUCGCCCACUGGGGGGCUUGGAGCAAGAAGGGAGGAGCUGUGGCCACGGCCAAUGAGGCGUCCACCUGCCCUUUCUCCCACCUCCCCUGGAGCCCAGGUCCUCAUCCUAGCUGAUGUCACUGCCCCCUUCUCAGACCAAAAGUGUCCACGCUGGGCCAAGUGACCCACACGGGGAUACAGAAUAGAAGCCUGCAGCCUUGGAGGGCUGGACGCCUCUGAGGACCACAAAACACUUGAUUCCACUAACAUGUUUAGUCACUGUGAACAUUUACACAUUUUUUAAAUCACAAAAGGAAUUCUCAGUCAUUUAAAGAUUUGGAAGCAAACCAGAGUUAUUUGAAGACGAAGAGUAAGAUGCCCUCUCACUCCACUCCCCCGCCACAUACCCCAUUCUGUUCCCUGAAGAACUCCAGCCACUGGGCUGGAGCGUUCUAGAUGUUUCUGUGCCUGAUCAUGUGAGUCUCGCCACGAUUCACGAGGUGGGCAGCUCAGCAGCGUGGUGGCCAGAUGGGGGUUUGGGAUGUCAAAUUCUUCGCCCCAAGUCUAGCAGCAAGAAUUGAGGACCUGGGCAUGCUGAGGUGGAAGGUCAUGAGGCCUGCAGUUCCAGGAAGGAGCCCAGUGUAGGGAGGGCCCUGGUAGGACCAGAGGGACCAGCAGAACCCACUGCGUUCCUACUGGGAGCUCCGCUUUGGUGCUGGACCACAGCCUCGUCUGUUCCUGAAACCAGAGAACGGGAGGGCGAUGUCUUCAGACCCAGCAGUCACAGGACAAGACAAGAUGAAUUCCCACUCCACAUAUAAUGCUUUAGAAAACAUUAUAGGUGAAGUGUCUGGCAAGCGAUUUGGCCCAGUGAAAAACAUGUUUUCAACAGGUAAGAAUUCCCUUGCAGGAUAUGUCAGAAGGCUGUGGAUAUUUUGCUGUCAAAGAGUGAACACAACUUGGUCUUGCUACUUGGUGGAGGACACUCGUUAGUCUAUGAAUCUUUUUGCAAACACUUAUCAACUCUGUAAAAGCAAGCAAAUUUGCACUCUUUACACUCCGCAGGAAAGGUACAAAGUAUUCUCCCCAGGAAGCAGAUGAAUGGCUGUUUUGAGUUUUUCUAUAAAAUCAGCGUUUCUUCUUCUCUCACAGCCUACCCAAAGCCGAUCUGAGUGUCAGAGUCCUACUCAGAACGAGACCGGGCCACUGUGCAUCGGUACCUCGUGCUGUGAGAAGGGAUGUACGCUCACCUUUAUCCACAGUUUCAGUCCGGGCGCUCCUAAAAUCCUUGUAGUAGGAGUCCCAAGUGAUAGGAGAGACUUCUGAUGCUCAUAGCAAGCCCUGGAGUUUGGGGUGACUUGAGUAGGGUCCCUGCCCAGCCUCUGGACGGGGCUGGUCACCAGGAAGACCAAGUGAUGAGAAGGCUGGAGGGAGCUUUCAGCCCAUCGCCGGGGCAGUGCUGGCAAUUACGCUGUUACAAACAUUCUUGAACAACAAGUCUGAGGAGCUUCUGGGUUGGUGCCCUGCCCCCCUACCCCGUGCCUGGAGGAUGGUGUGCCCCUCGUUCCACCAGGGCCGGAGCACCAGGAGGGUCCCAAACGCUUCCCCCAGGUGCGUUCUCUCUGCCUCUCUCUUCCUCCUAAUCUCCAAGGACUCUCUUCUUUUCCUCCCAUAACUUGUUUCCUGAGCCCAUUUCUUCUACAGCUCACUUCUAACUCUGUGACUUUGUAAAUGCACUUCCUCUUACAGUUUGAGGCUUGGCUUUGAAUUCUUUGAGCCAGAACUCAAGCGCCGAGACUGCUGAACCCAAGUUUGGUCCGACUCCCCCGGGUCUAAUGCCGGGUGCCGUUUUGCUGCUCUGUGUACCUCUUUGUAAUACCCUUUGUAAUAAACAGUGUUCUAGUAGGCAGAUGAUUUUGCUG